GCACAGCUGAGGAGUCCCAUAAUAGGACGAAACGGUUGUCUAGCGC
rfam:Schistosoma mansoni strain Puerto Rico chromosome 2, complete genome